UGGGUUUGUAAUGUGGUCAUG
rnacentral:miRNA from 1 species